UUUCAUUUAAAGAGCAAGUAACGUCUAAAUUAACUUUUUUUUGCUGAUGAACUGUAUAAAUGAGUGUCUAAUAGUGUUUUAAAUGUGUGUAUUCAUUAUUUUAGCAUUUUGGUGCAUUUUCUUAAAAAAUUAAAAAUUCUGCCUAAAUACCACAGUAUAGCUCCACCUUCAGCUUAAAACAUAGAAUUUGACUCAUUUUGAAUAAAUUUUAGCCAAUGGCUAAAGAGUAAGAUACUACGUAAUCCAGUAGAGUACUACGUAGCAGCUCUGUGUCAACGUUAUAAAAGCAUCGGGAGUCUCGGCCACGCCUUGUGGCGAGUUGGGAGUUGGAUUUGCAUGCGAGUGUAGGAGGCUAGCCGUAGUUCAGCAUUAGCAUAUAGCAUUAGCAUAUCCUAGUCUUUAGCAUAGCUUUUAGUGUUAUACAUACUUAUUUAGUGUUAGCUUGGCUGUUGGAUAUUGUAGUUUAGUUACUGUUUGGCUGUUAGUGUAAUUAGGAAAGUAGUUCGGGUUUAGUGCUCCAUAUCGUGUUAGCAUGGUGAGAUGGUGUAGUGUAGUAUGGUUGCGGAGCUCUGUCGGGUUGCACUCCUUUCCGCUGGACUUAGAAAUUAGGCGCCAGUGGUUGCGUGUCUGGAAAAGAUUCAGCUCCCGCCUGGUGCUGUAGUUUGCAACCAGCAUUUUACCCGCGAUUCUGCACGUCUCCGUUCCAAGAGGGAGGCUGUGCCCACCGUGGCUCUUCCGCGAUUUAGAUGCAGCCCACCGACUCUGCUCCCCCACCAUGACGGGCUACAGUCUGAGGCUAAAUCUACCCAAGACACUGGUUGUCAGACUGAUUUAGUAAUCUGCAAGAAUGCACUUGUCCAGGCUGACGUGGUGUUACCCGUAGCAAAGGUGAAUUAUUUUUAAUAAUCUUCUAUGUAAACAUUUUAUUACCUUCUAGUUUUAAUUUGUUUUACAGAUUGUUACAAGUGAUUUUAUGCUCUUUUAAACAUUUAUAAAUGUGCUGCUUCUUUGUUUUUAUAGAGCUCACAGCCUCAGUGUCUUGUGACCCAGGGACCAUGACAGAAAUUCAUCUUCCAGAAGGUCCCAGAGCAUCCACACCUCCUGAAAAGACCACGGUGUGAGGUGUCUGCUGUUGAUUCCAGCUUCCACCUCAGUGACAGUGCAAGCUCAGUGAACUGUUCAAGGAGGCUACUGAUUCUGGCCCUGUGACACUUGGUGGUCACCACCAGGUGGUGACGUGUGAGCUGAUUCACCUGGACACUCAGCAAAAUAUGGACUCUACACCAUGAGGCAGGCACACGUUAAUAACUCUAUAAGAGCACAUAAGCCUGGCUGAUCACCUGAUAACUCCUGUCAUCUGGUUAUGACAGCAUGAGGAUGUCCUCACACACCUGUAACCUAUCAGCUCAUCUGGCAGAAUAGAGAGAGAAGAGACAACACCACAUCUCCUGUUCCUGGAAAGCCUUCAGCCAUCCUUCGAUGACUGAGAACCUCCAUCAGCUCUGUCUCCUGUCUGCCUACAAUUAUAAUAAAUAUUGUGUUU